GAUGAACGCUGGCGGCGUGCCUAAUACAUGCAAGUCGAGCGAACAGACGAGGAGCUUGCUCCUCUGACGUUAGCGGCGGACGUGUGAGUAACACGUGGAUAACCUACCUAUAAGACUGGGAUAACUUCGGGAAACCGGAGCUAAUACCGGAUAAUAUAUUGAACCGCAUGGUUCAAUAGUGAAAGACGGUUUUGCUGUCACUUAUAGAUGGAUCCGCGCCGCAUUAGCUAGUUGGUAAGGUAACGGCUUACCAAGGCAACGAUGCGUAGCCGACCUGAGCGGGUGAUCGGCCACACUGGAACUGAGACACGGUCCAGACUCCUACGGGAGGCAGCAGUAGGGAAUCUUCCGCAAUGGGCGAAAGCCUGACGGAGCAACGCCGCGUGAGUGAUGAAGGUCUUCGGAUCGUAAAACUCUGUUAUUAGGGAAGAACAAAUGUGUAAGUAACUAUGCACGUCUUGACGGUACCUAAUCAGAAAGCCACGGCUAACUACGUG
rnacentral:rRNA from 1 species